GCUAACCCUACCAGGGUAUCAAUUUCAUUGUAAUCCCAGAACUCAAAAUUACAAAAAUUCAAUUCAAUUUCUCACUGCAUUACAAUUACUUGGAGAUUAUUUACACGUUUCAUCUUACAAAUGCAUAUAAGAAAAAAAUUUUAAGAUCACAAAUUUUUAACAUCCACACAUACUCAAUACACGCAGAAACAAAGUCAAUGCAUUUUAAGAUCAAACUUUUCAAGAAGGCUCUGCAUCUGAGCAACAAUAGCUAAGCUAUUACUCAAGAACUCCGUAGAAUUCUUCAUCUUAGCCUUUACCUCAUCAAGAACCGUUGAUCCCAUCUCCUCCAAGCCAUCCACGCAAGUCUGCUGAUCGGUCAUGGCACCGCUGAUCCACGUCUGGAUAUCGUUGAUCUUCUCCAACGUCAACGCUUUUUCUCCAGGGCCAACCUCCAUUGCCGACAGCGAAUCAUUAAGUCUACCCAGCGCCUCAUCAAAGAUACUCACACAGUCGUUUAUAGCAGCCUUAGAGUUGGCGUCGUUGAGAGUUCUGAAUAGGGAAGAAACGUUUUUGAGCUCUUUAACUGAGAUUUGGAGAGAGAGCUUGAAGAUAGCUUCUGGGUCUGGCUUUAUCGAGACGUUAACAGAGGAUAUGCUGGUGAAGCAGGAUGCUGGGUACCGAGUCACGUUGCAGACAGUUUUGAUUGAGUUGACCGAGUUGGAAGCAGAGGAGAGAGAUGGGGAAUCAGACUCAGACUCAGAGGGCUCGGUGUUGGACUCGUAGAUCAAGGCUGCAAGCAUUAGGCCGAUGAUUAAUGUUAAAAGAAGGGCGGCGACGAUUAGGGAUUUUCGGAUAGUUUUAGAGUGGUGGGGGCCUUUAUUUUCAAGGGUGGAGUUUACUUUGCCAUAGCCUUUAAGGACGUUAAUGGAUUCCAUAGUUAGGUUUUGGAAGAUCAGAAAUGGCAGAUGCCAAUCCUUAAAGGUCUUUGAUACAAAGCAGAGGAAGAUAUCUGUGUAUGACCAAGUCGAGAUUUU
rnacentral:misc_RNA from 1 species